rnacentral:misc_RNA from 1 species
GCUCGAACCCGGACCGCUCGAUCCGGAGAUGAGCGCACUAACCAUGAGGCCACCAUGCCUCCCUAACAUUAAUUUGUUGUGUGAGUAACUAAAGGUGGAACAGUCUCUUUCAGUUCUAGAAUGACAGGGUCCUGUGGUAUCAUCAGAGACCCAUGAACUUUCUAGAAUAUUGCUAAUCUUUCCCUGGAUGACAAGUCUAUCACCAGCUAGACCCCUUCUCUCUCCCUCUGCAGCUUUGUCAGACUGCCCUAGGCUUGCAAUAUUUGCUUGGGCAAAUAACAAGAACACCUCAUGCUUAAGAACACACCCCAAGGAUGAGUGUUAAGGGUGAUGUUCUAUCCAUUAGACCACCAGUGUGAAAUAAAAUUUUUUGUAGUGACGUUCCAGUUAUUGGAGCUUUGUUUUAGCUUAAGUAUUUACUUUUUGUUGAUUGCAGUGAGUGAAAGCUUGGAUAGGAAAAAGGUUGAUACUGCUGAGGAAGAUUUUAAAAAAUCAGAGAAUAAUGAAAGUGGUGAUCCAAAACACAGUGAUGACCAGGAAAAGAAUGAAAGUACAGAGAAGUCAGAGGCGACUGUUGAAACGUAUCUACCUUUCUUCAGGGAAAGUGACCAUGGUUCCUCACAACAUGAGCAGUGCAAGACUUCAUCUGUUAUUCCUGAGCCACCAUUGUCUCCUAGUCUAGCUUCAUUGGAAGAAGAAGAUGAGAACACUCCUUCACUUGGCCUGGAGGAUGAUGACUGGGAAUUUCAAGAGGACAAAUCUGGAGAUCCAAAUGUUAUCCCAGAAAGCCCAGUAAUAAAAGUUGGAAGAGCCACUGACGCAACUGCGGACACAGAGACUCCACUAAGUGAGAGUGAUGAGGAGUUUCAACAGAAUCAAACAUUUGUUAAUAACAAACGUGUCAAAUCUAACCUGUUCUGACCCUAGCAUUCGCUGAGCAAUGAACAUUGAUAAACAUUAGCCUUAUUCUCUACAAGUUAAAUGUCUUGAUCUAAAUUAUUGAAUUGGAUUUCUCUCUUCCUGAAACCAUAUUCUGUUUAUGUGGAGUAACGAAUUUUUUUGCACAAAACAGUGAAUUCUACAGUUGAGAGAAGCUCAGUACAAAGCCAGAAAUAUAAAUGACUUUAUUGCAAGAGGUCUCCAAAGCAAACAAUGUAAGGGUCAGUGAAGGUUUACACCCAUAUGCCUCAUAUUUUCACAUUAAUGUUUCUCAUGUAACCGACAAGCAAAUUGGGUAAAAUAUGUAGGAAUGUCUCAAUUGCGAUACAUGUAUGAGCCAUUGACUAAAACAGAGAAACAAAAAACAAGUGAGCUCCAGAUUACAUAUUUCUCCUGAAAAAGUCGAUGAUGCUCAUACAUAAAUAUUUUUCUGGGUGGACAAAUGUUUGUGGUCUCAUAACAUAUGAUCAACUUCAGCUCUUGCAAAAAUAGAAUACCGGUAAUAUGCUGGAGAAUAUUACUAUACAGUGAAAUAGUUGACUAUUAGGAAUUGUACUACAAUUGUAUUACAUGUAGUCCACACAAUGUCUUGGGAAACAUUCCAAAAAUGUUUUGUACAUAUAUAAUACUGUUACAUUUGUCACACAAAAUAGGGUACAGAAACAGAUAAUUCCUUAUACCAAAUAGUAUAAAAUCAUAUUUUCUUUAAAAAAAAAAACUGUAUAUGGAGGGGGAAAGGUUAUAAACAAUAAAACGAUGAGUUCUUUUUAAACGCAUUCUUCCGAGUCUCUGUUUUCUUUUUUGUUACCUCAUGACCUUUUACUUUCACCUCAACACCAGAAAUAAUUGUGCAAGUAAUUUUAAAAUUGUUGUGUUGCUAUCAAACUUUUGAUGGCCCUUAUAAGAGAUCUAAGGACCCAAACAAAAACAUUAAAAUGUCUUCAAGAAUGAUGUAUGACAGCCCUUGGUAGUAGCAGAAGAAACAAGAGAAUCGAGUGUAUAGAGAAAACAACUUCACACGGACCAAGAAGAGAAAUGUGGGAUGAAGUCACUGAUUGGAUAACUGAUCUGAGUUGGAUCAGUGAUGGAGAGUUUGGAUUAGAUUGGGUCCAGAGCCAGAUAAAGGAAGGAGUGAUGGAGGCCUUCCCAGAUGAAUGGUAAUACCUGGGUGAUCAUGAUACUGGAGAGCAGCUUAACCUGAACGUCUUUCUGAAAGUUAUCUUGUGGGAAAGCACCCUGCCAAUUCAACGUUAUUAUCAUCAAAAAUCGUCCAUAUCGUCAUGGUAGACGUACUUUGGUUCGAGCCUUGAGUACAAGGGCGUGGAGUUAUUGCCUUACUAGGACUAUGCCUUGAAGCGACGAUGGCUGCAAACACGUGGACGAUGGUAUGGCGGCGAAAUUGACGAAAUGCUUCGUUACGUUCUCCUUGAGAGGCGGAAAUGUCAAGCAUGGAAUAAGAAGCUGGAAAUUACUAACUUAGAAGAGAAGGAAAACGGAAAUGUCAGGCAUGGAAUAGGAAAAAUUGGAAGAGAAGGAAAACGAUGAAGGAUGAUUUUGCUAUAAGGUCACCAAGUGCCUUGGACGCUUCCUCUGAGAAUCAAACAAGAAAACUCUCAUUCAAGUGAAAGACAAGUUUUAUCAGAGGUAGAAAACAAACUUAAGAUUUCGCUUUAAGAUUUUUUCGAAAGGAAUCGGAGCUAGGAGUUUAUUUCGUUUGGUUUCUUCACUCGCUGAUGUCAGAUUUUUCUCGUGUUCCAAACGUCAGUC